AUUGAACGCUGGCGGCAGGCUUAACACAUGCAAGUCGAGCGGGGUGAUGGUGCUUGCACUAUCACUUAGCGGCGGACGGGUGAGUAAUGCUUAGGAAUCUGCCUAUUAGUGGGGGACAACAUCUCGAAAGGGAUGCUAAUACCGCAUACGACCUACGGGAGAAAGCAUGGGAUCACUUGUGACCUUGCGCUAAUAGAUGAGCCUAGGUCGGAUUAGCUAGUUGGUGGGGUAAAGGCCUACCAAGGCGACGAUCUGUAGCGGGUCUGAGAGGAUGAUCCGCCACACUGGGACUGAGACACGGCCCAGACUCCUACGGGAGGCAGCAGUGGGGAAUAUUGGACAAUGGGGGGAACCCCGAUCCAGCCAUGCCGCGUGUGUGAAGAAGGCCUUAUGGUUGUAAAGCACUUUAAGCGAGGAGGAGGCUCUUUUGGUUAAUACCCAAGAUGAGUGGACGUUACUCGCAGAAUAAGCACCGGCUAACUCUGUGCCAGCCGCCGCGGUAA
rnacentral:rRNA from 1 species